GAUGGGCAUGCGUCUGAUUAGCUUGUUGGUAAGGUAACGGCUUACCAAGGCUACGAUCAGUAGGGGGUCUGAGAGGAUGAUCCCCCACACUGGUACUGAGACACGGCCCAAACUCCUACGGGAGGCAGCAGUGGGGAAUCUUGCACAAUGGAGGAAACUCUGAUGCAGCGAUGCCGCGUGAGUGAAGAAGGCCCUUGGGUUGUAAAGCUCUUUCGUCGGGGAAGAAAAUGACUGUACCCGAAUAAGAAGGUCCGGCUAACUUCGUGCCAGCAGCCGCGGUAAUACGAAGGGACCUAGCGUAGUUCGGAAUUACUGGGCUUAAAGAGUUCGUAGGUGGUUGAAAAAGUUGGUGGUGAAAUCCCAGAGCUUAACUCUGGAACUGCCAUCAAAACUUUUCAGCUAGAGUAUGAUAGAGGAAAGCAGAAUUUCUAGUGUAGAGGUGAAAUUCGUAGAUAUUAGAAAGAAUACCAAUUGCGAAGGCAGCUUUCUGGAUCAUUACUGACACUGAGGAACGAAAGCAUGGGUAGCGAAGAGGAUUAGAUACCCUCGUAGUCCAUGCCGUAAACGAUGUGUGUUAGACGUUGGAAAUUUAUUUUCAGUGUCGCAGCGAAAGCGAUAAACACACCGCCUGGGGAGUACGACCGCAAGGUUAAAACUCAAAUGAAUUGACGGGGACCCGCACAAGUAGUGGAGCAUGUGGUUUAAUUCGAAGAUACGCGCAGAACCUUACCAACACUUGACAUGUUCGUCGCGACUUUAAGAGAUUAAAGUUUUCGGUUCGGCCGGACGAAACACAGGUGCUGCAUGGCUGUCGUCAGCUCGUGUCGUGAGAUGUUGGGUUAAGUCCCGCAACGAGCGCAACCCUCACUUUUAGUUGCCAUCAUUUAGUUGGGCACUCUGAAAGAACUGCCAGUGAUAAGCUGGAGGAAGGUGGGGAUGACGUCAAGUCCUCAUGGCCCUUACGUGUUGGGCUACACACGUGCUACAAUGGUAUCUACAACAGGAAGCAAAACUGCGAGGUUAAGCAAAUCCUUAAAAGAUACCUCAGUUCGGAUUGCACUCUGCAACUCGAGUGCAUGAAGCUGGAAUUACUAGUAAUCGUGGAUCAGCGUGCCACGGUGAAUGCGUUCCCGGGUCUUGUACACACCGCCCGUCACACCAUGGGAGUUGGUUCUACCUUAAGGCAAGGUUUAAAACCCUUGACCACGGUAUAGUCAGCGACUGGGGUGAAGUCAUAACAAGGUAACCGUA
rnacentral:rRNA from 1 species